GUUUCAUAGGAUCUUAAAUCUAGAUCUUGAAGGGACCUCAGAGACCAUCUAGUCUGAUCUUCACAUUUUACAAAUAAGGAAGCUGAGGACCAAGGAGAGAAGUGACUUGCCCAAGGUCUCACUGAUUCUCUCCUCUCUCCUUGGAGCAUGUGCAAAUAUACUCUGCUUUCAACUCUAUAUGACUCAUUAAUGUAUUGAAUCUUCCUGAAAGGUCGCUGAACAAGAAAUGUCAAUGGUGCAGGGUACUACACCCAGAAAAGAAAAAUUUGGCUCUUGCCUGACAGGUCUCUGGAAGAUAGCUUUUGAGAAUAUGAGAUGUGAUGCCAAUCAGAGUUGGAAGAAGGAAGGGGCUUUCCUCUCCUUGGCAUAAAGGGGAGACAGAGACCAUUGAACCACCGCUCCUGAUAUGAAGCAUGGACUCAGUUAGCUGGGCUUGGAUCAGAGGUUCCCAGAUAUUUUGCUUCUUCUUUUGUUACUCCUUUGCUCUAGCAUUGACCUUGUAAAGAUAGAAUGAUCUGGACCCAUUUAGCACUAACAGGUUUGGGUUUGUGAUAAGGAAAGCAUUGGCAUAAGAAGUGUUGGCAUUAGAGCAGGAGGCUGUCCAAAAGAAAAUGCCACUUGGCUGUUUGACCAGACAAUUCCAGUGCAGAGGUGAAAUCUAAAAGUGCUACUUAAUAGCCUUGGAAAUACUACUAUGUUUAAAUGAGUCUUAAGUAUUCACCUCUGAACUGAAGGUACUAGUAAUAAUAAGUUGGUGUAUUCUCUUUUAACAAAUCUAUGAUGCUUUAUUUAGCUAAGAUUUCCUUUUCUGGGUGGGAACAAACUGCCUAUCCAUACUUCAAUCAUGUUUGUACUUUUGGUACCAUUUUUACUCUCCUCUCCUCCUUGCUAGAGAAAACCUUAGCAUGUGAGGCCAUAACCACAACAACUUCAUAGCCAACAACCUUCCCUAGAGUUGCCAGGUUUGAGUGAAUGUGAAAUUGGAGUCUUCUUCCCCUGUAGAAAAGUCAGGCAACCCCAGAGCAGUGAGUGCAAUACACAAUUGCAAGGCUGGGUAUAGAGCUUUAAAGUAUCCUUAAUCCCUAUGAGUCCUAGUAGUGAUUACCUCUAUCCUCUAAGUUAGAUUAAUACAAAUGUUUUGAGAUAUUAAUUUUCCUGUGAGACCACUUUAGCCUUGUCCCACAUGUUUUGGUAUGUUAAUUCAUUGUUAUAAUUUCCUCUAAUACAAUUUUAAGUUUAUUGUUUCUAUGAUUUUUUUUGAUCAGUUCAUUAUUUAGGAUAUCAUUGUUUAGUCUACAUGUUAGUCUGCACUUUUGGUUCUUAUUUCUUUUAUUAAUUAUUAUUUUUAAUACACUAUAGUCUAUAAAGAGACAGCUUUCUCCAUUUGUGCAUGUGUUCAUAUGUUUUUGUUCCUUAGCAUGUAGUCAAUUAACAGGUCUAAAUUAUACUAAUCUAAUUUGGGGUUUUUCAGUUCCAACGUAGUCUCUACUGGACAUGUGAAACUGAAGAUAAAUAGAGUUCAAUGAAGUUUUUGAAUUUUUAAAUAAGUAGUCAUAUUUCAUUUUAUCAGGUUUUGAGAUCUUUAUUUCUAAUGUAAUUUGAUUUCAAAAUGCCUAAAACUUUGAAUCUCUGUGGAGAUUAUUUCUCAAGUUUAAAUAUGAAUUAAAGCUGUCAGCAUCCAG